rnacentral:tRNA from 1 species
GGCCUGGUGGUCUAGUAGUAUGAUUCCUUCUUAGGGCUUAACGGCAUUUGGAGGAGGUCCCGGGUUCAAUUCCCGGCCAGGCCC